GGAAAAAUUAUAUCAACCUAGUUCACAAAGAAUGUGAAUUAUUAUACCAUUUAAGUUGUUACCCCCUAGAGCUAAAAUCUGAAGAAACUUUAAAUUGCCAAUUUCUCUUGGUAUCUUCCCACUAAAGGAGUUGUGAGACAGUCCGACAGUUUGAAGUUGUUAACAUUCGGAUAUAUUCGAUGGAAUUUCGCCACUCAGCUGAUUACGAGAUAGGUAAAUUUGUUGAACAAGUGGAAGUUUACUGCAAAAGUCACUUGGAAGGCUGCCACUCAAUUCAUUUCCUGUGAAAACCUCUGUUACACAGACACGGCAAACACAUGAAGUUUCCCCGUGUCGGAAACGUUUCGGACACGAAACGCGAAGACACCUUUAAGAAACGCUGUUGGGCCGUGUCUGUAAUAUUUGAAAAGUUGGACACGCGUGUCAAGGGAAAAAAAAAAGAAUUUUCUUUUUUACAAAUCUGAUUAUUUGGGUUUUUGUGAAACUGGAGGAAUAAAUUGGCAGCUCUCUCUCAUUAAUCCGAUAAUUAAUUGCAAAUUUAUUUGAAUAAACGAUUAAACGUAUUAAAUAUUCAUGUAUAUUUUAAUAUUGUACAUAAAAAAUAAAACAUAAUUUAGUAAUAAUUUAUAAAUAAACCCCUAUAUUUUUAAUAUUUACACGUAUCCCCCACGUUCCCGUGUCCUACUUUUUUUGAUUAAGUGUAUCCCGGUGUCCGUAUCCGUGUGUCGCCGUGUCCCCGUUCCCGUGUCUAUGUAACAUAGGUGAAAACUAUAGACUCCAGGGUUGAUAUGUUGAAUAGGGAUGAUGGUUUUUGACCGGAGAGACGAUUGUAAGCAAAACUAAGAAGCCGUAGAUUUGUCAGGUUAGAGAGGGAAGUGGGAAUGGAACCGGUAAAACUGUUAUUCCGUAGAGAUGGAUGCUCGAGUUUAGUUAAAAGACCCAACCACAGUGGAAUCUCUCCACUCAAGUUGUUUACUUUGAAAGAAAUAAACUUCAAUUUGUGCAGUAAAGACAACUGUAGAGGCAGAACACCACCGAAAAAGUUGAAACUAUAAUCGAGUGAAACGAGGAAGGAAAGGUUUCCUAGUUGUGGUGGAAUUGUGCCUGAAAGACCCAUGUAAGAAAUAUUUAACGCCUCUACUCGAUUAUGGUGCAAACCGCAAGUGACGCCAAUCCAGCUGCAGACAGAGCUCGAAUUUGUCCAACUUUUGGCAAGUGUGUUUUCAGGUUCCAAAAGUAUAUGAGAUUUCAGGGAAAGAAGGGCAGAUUAAUUGUUUGAUAAAAAUGUAUGACUAAAGAAUCAUGGAAGAAGGA
rnacentral:lncRNA from 1 species